GACGAACGCUGGCGGCGUGCUUAACACAUGCAAGUCGAACGGAGAUUAAGGAAUUAGUUUACUAAUACUUUAAUCUUAGUGGCGGACGGGUGAGUAACGCGUGGGUAACCUACCCUUAAAACCGGGACAACAGCUGGAAACGGCUGCUAAUACCGGAUAAUCUUCUAGUUCGGCAUCGAACUAGGAGGAAAGGUGGCCUCUGAAUAUGCUACCGAUUAAGGAUGGACCCGCGUCUGAUUAGCUAGUUGGUAGGGUAGUAGCCUACCAAGGCGACGAUCAGUAGCCGGCCUGAGAGGGUGACCGGCCACACUGGGACUGAGACACGGCCCAGACUCCUACGGGAGGCAGCAGUGGGAAAUCUUCCGCAAUGGGCGCAAGCCUGACGGAGCAACGCCGCGUGAAUGAAGAAGGCCUCGGUCGUAAGUUACUGUUGUAAGGAAGAAGUCUGUGCGUGUGAUAAUAGCAUACAGGUGACGGUACCGUUUUGUAGGAAGACUCCGGCGUAACUACGUGCCAGCAGCCG
rnacentral:rRNA from 1 species